UGUAGUGGACGGGACGCUUCUUCAACAACAGCUAAUCAGCCAUCUCAGGUAUCUUGCUAGCCAACAUAGCCGAAACAUUGGAGCUCUUUAGACGUUUUCGGUGUAUAUUAGUCAUUGUGUUUUAAACACACGUCUGUCGUAUCUACUAGUUAACCAUUUCACCCCCCCGUAUUUACCUUGUUAGUCAGCUAGGUGACUGGUUAAGUUAGCACAAGGCUAGUCGCUUAUGCUAACUAGUUAGCUAAAAUCCCUGACCAUGAGCUCACCAAGGUACUCCCCGCCGGUUAAAGAAGAGGAUGUCUGCUGGACUGAGAAACAGGGUAUGUGGCUUAAUGUUGUCGUGAAAGAGGAAGAGGAAGAGGAGGAUGUCACAGUGAAAGGCAACGAAGAAGCGUCCAGAGUGAAAGAGGACGAGACUGGAGAUCUGAUUAACACCACAGGUGAAAGACCAGACUCUCACAGCGGGAAAAGUCAUACAGGGGAACCAGACCCACAGAAGACCAAACCAGCAAGACCACACCACUGCUCCCACUGUGGAAAGUAUUUUAGACACUCAGGGAACCUGAAAACGCAUGAGAUGAUACAUACAGGAGAGAAGCCAUAUCAAUGCUCCCAGUGUGGAAAGGGUUUUAGACUCUCAGGGCAUCUAAAAGUGCAUGAAAGAACACACACUGGAGAAAAGCCAUAUCUAUGCUCCCAGUGUGGAAAGGGUUUUGGACACUCAAGCAAUCUAAAACUGCAUGAAAGAACACACACUGGAAAGAAGCCAUAUCAAUGCUCCCAGUGUGGAAAUAAAUUUUUCUCAUCUGGGGACCUGAAAAAACAUGAGAGAACACACUUAGUAGAGAGGACUUUCCAAUGCGCCCAAUGUGGAAAGAGAUUUAUUCAGUCAGCGCAUCUGAAAGAUCAUGAGAGAAUACACCCAGGAGAACAACCAUUCCAAUGCUCCUUGUGUAGGAAAAGUUUUACCCAUUCAUGGAACCUGAAAAUGCAUGAGAUGACACACACAGGAGGGAAGCCUUUCUGCUGCUCCCAGUGUGGAAAAAGUUUUACCCAGAUAGGGGCCUUGAAAACGCAUGAAAUGACACACACAUGAGAAGGAGAGAAGCCUUUCUAUUGCUCCCAGUGUGGAGAGUUUUAUUUGGUUAGGAAAUCUGAAAACACAUGAGAGAACACACAGGGGAGAAGCCCUACCACUGCUCAGACUGUGGAAAUAGAUUUACCCAGCUAGGCUACCUGAAAUCACAUGAGUGGACACACUCUGUGGAAAAGUUUAGUUAGGGAACUUAAAUGCAUGAGAUGACACACACAGGAGAGAUGCCUUUCCACUGCUCUCAGUGUGGAAAGAGUUUUAGAAAUGCAGGGAACCUGAAAGUGCAUGAAAGCAGACACUAUGGAGAGAAGCCUUUCCAAUCUUCUCAUUGUGGAAAUACAUUUUCCCUGUCAGAGGACCUGAAAUCACAUGAGAGAAUACAGGCGCUGUGUUCUGACUUAUAUUUUUGACUUAAGAAAUUGUGAUUUGGUUUAUGCCACAUCAAAUCAAUGUAUAUGAAAGCUUACUCAAAAACAGGGUUACUUUUGUUUUUCUUUAAGACAUGAUCAUAUCUCAAAUCAAAAUAUAUAUUUUUAAAUGUGUAUUUUGAUUAUGAAGUAUAGAUUUGAAUAUUGGUAUUUAAAAAUGUAAAUUAUGAUAUAGAUUAAUAGAAUGUGCAUUUCGAGAUUCUAACCUUGAAACCUCUUGGAUUUGGAUAUUACUAAAAGAAAUUUGAUUGGAUGCAUGAUUUGGAUAUUGCAAAGUGUAAAUGAUUAGAUCAGGGAUCGAAAUUGGUGGAGAAACAAAAAUAGCAUAAAUAGCUAAGUAUACCAGUUUUAUUUGAAUACCAGGAUGUUGACAGAGGUUUUUUCGGGAGAGGACUGUGUAGGUCUUGGAUGGUUGGUGGCCUGGCGUUUGGGAGCUUGGGCCAGUGGCCCGAGUGGUCGCUGGUUUGGGUCCCCGAUUCGACUGGGUGUGAGAUCUGUCGAUUUGCCCCUUGGCGUGGCGCUUGACCCUAUUUACUAUUGUGGGUCGCUUUGGAUGGGAUUGGCUGCUAGAUGACUGAAUGCAAUGUAAAUAUUGAGCAGCUUCACUGCAGGUAGAUUGUAUGAUUUUUCAAAUUCAAUAAAAUAAAAAAAUAACGUG